AAGAUUCACAACAAGGACAGACAUUAAUAGGACCAGAGCAGACAAUGCAGUAAUCUGAUCUGCUGUUGACUCACUAAGCUUUCAUCAGUGUAAAGGUUACUGUUCCAUCUAUUAUUAUCCAUCCCUGUAGACGCAUGGCGUACAAUCAACAGUGUGAUUACACCUCUACACGUGUGCAUACAUGUAAACACGCACACUUUACUGACACAAAGAAAAUGCAGCCUUCUUUUUUUUUCUGACCGACAAAAAAAGAUAAAUAAGUCAUUUCUGGGAAAACUUCGCCGGAGUUACACAACAGCAGCGUGGGUGUUUUCAUGAUGCCUGGUUCUCUGGUCGAGCUGAUUUGGUGGGAAAGUCGAAAUUCACGUGGUUCUGAACCUUGUCUGUGGUGUAUGCAAAUAUCAUGUGGUGUAACAGGCGAUGACAAGUGAGAAAGCUAUCUGCGGGAUGUUGAAGAGCUGGAGGAGAUUUUGUACCUGGAUGGCAACAGAGCUGGAUCCUGGACCAAUCAGACCCAC